rnacentral:piRNA from 1 species
UUAAAGAUCAUCUUUUUAAUGCCAGU